AGUUCUGUAGUGUUAUUUCAGUUAGUCCGUGCAAUUCUACACAUGGCCGCUAGGGGCGCUGACGCGUUAGUGACCAAGAAAAGAUUGAGCACACCAGAAGAAUAAAUCUUCCUGUUGAAGGUAAAAGGAGCUCAACGUUUGUGUCUCGUCUUUUCUAUAUCGCAGGGUCAGAGAAGAUUGACUUCUCUCCCCGACGUCUGACUUUGAAGCAGAUAAACUUCAAUUUCCUCUCAUUACCCUUUCAGAUUGUAAAACCACCAAAGGAGGAGGUGUUUCUGACAACGGAAAGAUAAAGAUGGAAGAAACAGAAGAAGAACGCUAAACUAGCAUGAUUGGAAACAGACUACAUACAGCUGGUGCAACGUGGGACGGAUGUCUUCUUGGUCCUGCUGCAGUACGGUUCUCUGCUGUUUGCCACAGUUGCACACAAACAGACCUACAAGAGGAAAUCAAUACCUGCUUCACCAUAGUGACUGGAUGAAAAACAUUAUUUCUUGAACAUUCCAGCAUGGAAUCGAUCGAUGUGAUUACUCCCAAGGGCCAAGCUAAAGAAAACCAGCUGAUGAGCAACAGUCUGAGGAAGCUAGUCCCCCUGCAGUGCGCAGAGACUGAAGCUGAACCAUGGCCUUAACACACACUAAUCAUCCUCUCUGUCUUUACGGCACCCAGGGGUGAGAUUUAAUGAGGCUAAUGGUGGUAUGACUAAACAUCCUGCAGCCGUCAUCCGUCAGGAGAGCAUCAGGCCACAGGCUUUUGAUGGCUGCCUGUGUGACUGAAGAAGUGGAAGUUGCUCCCAUGUCCUUUCACAUGACUUUGCAGUCUCACUUUUGUAUUAGGAAUGUGAAAUGCGAUAAAGAGGAGUUUCUGGAGCUUGUUGUAGUAGAGAUUAGUAGAUUUUGUGAGAAAAAUACAAAAUAUACUCCAAAAGUAUGCUAGGAUUUUAGAAAAUCCAGCAAUCAACAUCAGCAAAUGUGAAGUAUGUAAAAGAAGCAAAUGUCAAAGCCAACAAAUGUAUAGCUUAAGGAGUCUUAGUUUGCCUGUUGAAACCAGAAGCCUUCUCCUCAAAAGCCAAGCCUACAAGCAUAGCUGUGCAAUGUGGAAAAUCCAGUUCAGCAUGAACAGGGUGAUCACUUAUACGGGUUGACUUUCAAACACAGACUAUCUCCUCUUGUUACUGGAUUUUCUUUUGUCCGGCAGUGAAGCCCAACAAGCUGAUUUGGUGUUUUGCCAGAAAUCCCAACACCAGCGUGAGAUUCCCACAAGUUAAAGUUUGUAUUUCAGCUGUUUAGAAAAGGUUGCAUCACAUUUCUUCUUUCAGAAAUAAAAGUAAUAGCAGAAAAUUUGUUACUGCAUUGAUUCCAUGUUGAUGGUUUUUCUGCAACAUGCUGAAUAAAUAGUAGACUUAUAAUUUCAAUUAUUUACUAAAGUAGAACUGACAUUAGAUAGAAAAAUAAUGAUCUUUGCAGUUUACAGAUGACACUGUUGAAUGUGUUGUGUGUGUCAGAGAAAACCCAGAUUUAUGCUGAUCGUACCCAUUUUCUCCCUUGGAAGAAGGCUUGCCAGCUUCCACAUUCUUUAUGGUGUUCUUUGAGAGGAAAAACUGUUCCUUAUAAGGAUGGUUUUCUUUUCAUGGAGUCUGCUAAGAGCACUCAUAUCUCAUGGUUGCACCUGGUUUUCACGGAUGAAGCAUCAAAGACUAAUUAAACCCAACAAAAUUGAGUCCCCAUGCAUGAGAGAGCUGCUAAUCCUGAUGUUUUUUCCAGUUUACAUUUUGAUCAGCAUUUUAAGGUGCCAUGACUGUCCACAAAAAAAAAAAAAAUCUGAUUGCUUCUGCAUACGUAUUGAGAUUCUGAUCAGUUCUAUGUAUUUUCUUUCUCACAAAAUCUCACAGUGAAAACCUGAGAACAUGUACCUCUGUUGGAGCUGUGUCCUUGCUGUGCUCUACUGUUUCAAGGUUGGUGUCCUGGAUUCAAGGCUAAUUCAUGCCAUGUUUUGGAGGGGGGAGGCACUGAGGUGUGACCGGCCCUUCCAAAGUAACCUCACCUUAGGGAAGAAGACAAAGAUGGCAGACAUAUCACAGCCACAAUGAAUAUGAAUGUUCUGUGGCUGAAGGAGUUUAUGUCCAGCAGCAAUAUAAAGCAAUGAUACUUGAAAGUCAUUCAGUGUGUAUAAAUAUAUUCCAAAUAUUAAUAUGAUCAAUUAAACUACUG